rnacentral:rRNA from 1 species
GAUUUUUGUACAAUGGGCGAAAUCCUGAUCCCGCAAUCCCGCGUGCUGGAUGUAGGCCCUCGCGCUGUCAACUCCUUUUGUACUGCACGAAAAGCUUUGCGUUAUUACCCCGCAGUCUUGCCGGUACCCUCAAAAUAAGCACCCGCUAACUCCGUGCCCGCAGCCGCGGUAAUACGUAGGGUGCAAGCGGUAAUCUGAAUUACGGGGGGUAAAGCGUGCGCGGGCGGUUUGAGAAGACAGAGGUGGAAACCCCGGGAUCAACCUGGGAACUGCCUUUGUGACUGCAAGGCUAGAGUACGGCAGAGGGGGGUGGAAUUCCGCGUGUAGCAGUGAAAUGCGUAGAUAUGCGGAGGAACACCGAUGGCGAAGGCAACCCCCUGGGCCUGUACUGACGCUCAUGCACGAAAGCGUGGGGAGCAAACA